UAAUAAAGGGAAAAAAGACCCCUGAGGAG
rnacentral:piRNA from 2 species